CAGUCGCCGCGGUAAUACGGAGGGUGCAAGCGUUAAUCGGAAUUACUGGGCGUAAAGCGCACGCAGGCGGUCUGACAAGUCAGAUGUGAAAUCCCCGGGCUUAACCUGGGAACUGCAUUUGAAACUGUCAGGCUGGAGUCUUGUAGAGGGGGGUGGAAUUCCAGGUGUAGCGGUGAAAUGCGUAGAGAUCUGGAGGAAUACCGGUGACGAAGGCGGCCCCCUGGACAAAGACUGACGCUCAGGUGCGAAAGCGUGGGGAGCAAACAGGAUUAGAUACCCCAGUAGUCCCUGUCUCUUAUAC
rnacentral:rRNA from 1 species